GACGAACCGUGCGAACGUUGUUCGGAAUCACUGGGCUUAAAGGGCGCGUAGGCGGAUCAUCAAGUCCGGGGUGAAAUCCCGCAGCUCAACUGCGGAAGGGCCUUGGAUACUGGUGGUCUCGAGGGAGGUAGGGGCAUGUGGAACUUCCGGUGGAGCGGUGAAAUGCGUAGAUAUCCUAAGGAACACCAGUGGCGAAAGCGAUUCACUGGGUCUUCUCUGACGCUGAGGCACGAAAGCUAGGGUAGCGAACGGG
rnacentral:rRNA from 1 species